rnacentral:rRNA from 1 species
GGGGAAUCUUAGACAAUGGGGGAAACCCUGAUCUAGCCAUGCCGCGUGAGUGAUGAAGGCCUUAGGGUUGUAAAGCUCUUUCAGCUGGGAAGAUAAUGACGGUACCAGCAGAAGAAGCCCCGGCUAACUCCGUGCCAGCAGCCGCGGUAAUACGGAGGGGGCUAGGGUUGUUCGGAAUUACUGGGCGUAAAGCGCACGUAGGCGGACCGGAAAGUUGGAGGUGAAAUCCCAGGGCUCAACCUUGGAACUGCCUUCAAAACUAUCGGUCUGGAGUUCGAGAGAGGUGAGUGGAAUUCCGAGUGUAGAGGUGAAAUUCGUAGAUAUUCGGAGGAACACCAGUGGCGAAGGCGGCUCACUGGCUCGAUACUGACGCUGAGGGGCGAAAGCGUGGGGAGCAAAC